GACGAACGCUGGCGGCGCGCCUAACACAUGCAAGUCGAGCGGAGAUUUCUUUGGCACUGAGUACUCUAGUAAAGACGCAAAGGAAGCGUCAUGAAGAAACAACAUAGAUGUUAAAAACACUGAUAAAAGUUUCUUCAUCACGCGUUUUUAAAGUGCCAACACAAAGAGGGAAGGAUAAGUAGAGUAUUGAGUGCCAAAGAAAUCUUAGCGGCGGACGGGUGAGUAACACGUGGGCAACCUGCCUUGAAGUGGGGGAUAACACCGGGAAAUCGGUGCUAAUACCGCAUAACAUACACAAACUGCAUGGUGAGUGUAUCAAAGGAGCAAUCCGCUUUAAGAUGGGCCCGCGGCUGAUUAGCUAGUUGGUAAGGUAACGGCUUACCAAGGCGACGAUCAGUAGCCGACCUGAGAGGGUGACCGGCCACACUGGAACUGAGACACGGUCCAGACUCCUACGGGAGGCAGCAGUGGGGAAUAUUGCGCAAUGGGGGAA
rnacentral:rRNA from 1 species